GAGUCUGGUGUUCAUGUAAGAGUCUGGGGUACCUGUAAGAGGUACAUGUAAGAGUCUGGGGUACCUGUAAGAGGUACAUGUAAGAGUCUGGGGUACCUGUAAGAGUUACAUGUAAGAGUCUGGGGUACCUGUACGUUAUAUGUGUAUGAUUCUGAAGUACCUUUAAGCAUUUUGUGAUAGAUUAUACAGAUUGCCAAUGAGAUGUACAUGUGUGAUAUGAUUGGCGGGCUUGCCUUUGACACCAGUGAGUGCUAGGUAUGGGUAACUAUAGGGCAAAGAUUCAUUUAGUCUGAGACUUCCUACAUAUUCACAACAACAGAGGACUACAUAUUUCAAUAAUUACAUUGUACUUUCGAUUUACAUAUACAUUUUGUAGGUAAUAUUAAGCAUUGUGUAGUCUUGAGAGUGGAACACUGAUGACAUUUUUUUUUACAACCGGAGCGAUAACAUUUUUCUGAUUAUCAAAAAAAACUGUUUCAUUGUGUCCUCUGAGUAUCCAUGAUCAACUACAAGUGUAUCAACUGAUCAUUAAACAAUUUAAACUUGUAUAAUGUUAUCAACUGCCAUUAGAUCAUAUGACUAGAACUUUUUACUUGUAUCUGUGUGAUGUAAUUUGUAGGUAGUACAAUAUAUAUAUUUACACUGUGGUGUAACUGCGAUGAUCAUUGAUUUAAGUUGAAAUGCCCGGUAGUAAUUAGUUAAUGCACCUGUAAAUUGGUGGUGAACGAUAUCCACAUCCCAAAGCUAGUCAGUAGUUUUUAUUGAAGUUCAUAGCUUAUAUGUAGAAGCAACAUUAUACAUGUGUAGGAAAUUUGGCAUUCUCUGCUAUCUUGAUCGGUCCUAAUACCAAUGCUAUGCUUGAAGUUUGAUAUCAUAAUAAAGGUCAGUUACCACAAAGGUCGGUUACCACAAAGGUCGGUUACCACCAGGGUCGGUUACCACAAAGGUCGACGGUUACCACAAAGGUCGACAGUUAAUACAAAGGUCAACGGUUACCACAAAGGUUGGUUACCACAAAGUUUGGUUACUACAAAGGUCGGUUACUACAAAGGUCGGUAAUUACCUCAAAGGUCGAGGGUUACCAGAAAGGUCAACAGUUACCACAAAGGUUGACAGUUACCACAAAGGUCGACCGUUACCACAUACAUAUAGAUAUCUAGUAAGUACUGUGAUAGGAUAUAAAAUCUGCUGAAUACUUAAUAUAUAUGUUUAUUUAUUUGUGCUAACAGUUGUUCAACAGCUAUCUGAAAUACCACAUUACAUUCCGUCCAGAUAUAUAAAAUUUGAUAUCCGUCCAUGAAUUUUUUAUUUUUUUUUAACUGUUAACCUUAUUUGUUAAUGUAGGUGUUUUUUAAAAAUAUGGCUAUUCCAGUAUUAUCUGUGUUAUUUGAAUAUUAUUAAUAUUAUAAUUUAUUUAGUGUUCGGUUCCAGCUUGAUUGACUAAUGCUGGAAUUACUCAUACAUACUCAUCUUUCUUUGGUUAUAACACCUUGAUACGACUUAUAAGGCUGUUCUGCCGGAUCUGAAGGUUUUGUAAAGCUGCUGUCAUUCCCUCCGUAAAUAUGACCUUGAUUUUCAUUUGGUUGGUUCAGUUAAAAGUGUUAAUAUUUAUUCAUAAUAAGUAAAAUUUCCCUUUUAAGAUUAAAUGUGAUACAAUGUAUGUUAUGAAACAAUAUGUUAACAGUAAAUAGUAAGAAUGCUGCUUAUCCAAGCCUUCUAUUAUCCAAACUUUCUCCAUUUUUCUGGCCUACAUAAUGUUUUCCUGUUACGAAAUCAUAUCUCCGAUCAUUUGCAUAAUCAUAUUCAGUAUCACAGAAGCAGUUUGGAAAUGCAGCAUUCUGCAUAUAUUGUUAGUAAUAACGGUGAUUGCAUUAAUUAUAAUAAACUUGAUUUAUUUUAAAACAAUUGAGAAACAAUACAUGUAUUCAUUGGUAUUUGUACUCUGAAGAGAUGUUAUUGGUGUGUUGUUUGUUGUUGAUUUUGGGGGAGGGCUAAGAGUGACAUUUACAGGUGUGUUAUGAGAACCAGUAUUAAUACGAGGAAGAAAGGUGACCGAGUGUUUGAUCUGUGCUUCAAUUAGAAGACAUUUCAGGAGUGCAUGUAUGUACUUGGAAAGUAAGGAGAUAUGUUUUGAAUCACUGUAGUUAAUUAUGUGUAAUAACUUUGUAUAGAUAGGAAAAUUAAUCUUAAGUUAAUUGUCAUUUCUUUGCACCUUUGUUUUUGGGGUUUUCUUUUUCGUUGACCUAUUUUUACCAUGUUUACCUGUGACGGUGUUCUUUAGGAGGGGCCAUGAUUGAUAUCUCGGUACUUCGUUUAACAAAACAAUCAACUUUGAUGGACUGUUUUCGUGUUGCUUUUCCAUUCAGUCUGUAUAAACAUACUGCAUAUUUAAGCUGGUGAAGUAACCAUGCAUGGAAUUAAUGCCUGUGUUUUUCAUUUAAAGAUGAUCAGUCUCCUCCGUGUGUUAAGUCAAUCAGAACAGUUCACACUUCCUGAUCUGUUCUUCCUUUACAUUACACCUUUAGGAUUUGCUUACUUGCUUGUGUUUUCGUACUUAGUUUUUAAUAUGUGUAAUGCUCAAAAUUACACUGCUGUAUAAAAAAAUCAUUCUGCGAUUGUUGUGUUCCCUAUCAGCUCACACUAUGUAGGUCAGUGAUGUUGGGGAAAUCUCCAUACCCAUAUAUUUCCACAUUUCAAUUCUAGAUAUUUUUAUGUUAUGUAUUUUUAUAAUGCAGGAGAGGCACAUAUACAGUUUUAUGAUAAAGAAUUAAAUUAAGUAAUAUGUUUAUUUGAAGUAAAAGCUUACCAAAAAAGAAAUAUUAAUAUGUUUAUUUUAUCUUAAAUUCUGAACUUAUAGACUUUAUACUAAAAAGGUGUUAUUUUACAAAUUCAAUUUCUACGGAAUGAAACAUAAUUCCUUAACUUAGUUGUUCUAGCUAAAUUAUUAUUACAGUAUUAAAGAUGAUUCCCAUACUGUAUUUUGAAAAAAAAAAAAAAAAAAAAAUAUAUAACAUGCAAAUUUAUAAUGAAUCUAGAAAAAAAAGAUCACAUCCAAACCAGUGGUUUAAGAUAUACUUAAAUUGGGAAAUGAAAUACCACAGACUUAGAUAUGCAUGUAUGGAUAUAUAAAUCUAUGGAAAUACAAUAGUCAUAAUCAUAAAAAAUGGUUUAUUAUCUGCAUUUAUUUCUGUAUCUCUGGACCCUCCAUUUAAGGUGCAUCUUCAAAGUUUCAAAAGCAUCAGCUAAUUAAUUUCUUUAUAAUACUAGAUACAUGCAUACACAGAUGUGUUGCUGAGUCUGGAAUGUCAUUGUUACCUAGUAGUAUAUGUAUAAUGGUAUUGUCACAGUGUUGAAUUGGUGAUAUGUACGAUACUAUAAGUUAUUUAUUUUUUUACUGUUAUACCUGUGUGCUGUUUAUGUCAAUGUAAUUGUAGAUCUGUAUAACAGAUGAGAUUGUGUACAUCUGGAAAAUGAAAUCAACUAUCACAUAAUGUGCCCUAUAGGAAUUGUGUAGAUGUUCUUUAUACAGCAAGAGGUAUGCUGCCAUUUGAUGUAAUAUAUUCCACUAUUAUAAUAGGUUUUGGGGUUUAAGAAUAGUUUUCUCUCAGUGGCUGUUGUAUAGUUCUUCAGGGUUUUCUUGGACAAAACUCUACAUUGAAACCCUGAGGAGAGUAAAACUACUGUCCGCUGUAAGUGAACAUAACCCUUAUUAGGGAUAGUUUCAGUUUGCUGUCAGUGGACCUAACUCUACUGGGAAACCCUGAGGAGAGUAGAACUACUGUCCUCUGUAAGGGGAAAUAACUCUUCAAGGAAUCCCUGAGGAGAUUAACUGCUGUCCUCUGUAAGGGGACGUCACUGUUAGGGAUAACUUCAGUUUGUUAUCAGGGGACAUAAACCUACAGGGAAACUUUGAGUAGAGUAGAACUUCACUCCUCUGUCAGGGGUCAUAACUCUUAGGGAUAACUUCACUCCUCUGUCAGGGGACAUAACUCUUAGGGAUAACUUCAGUUCUCUGUCAGGGGUCAUAACUCUUAGGGAUAACUUCAGUCAUCUGUCAGGGGACAUAACUCUACAGGAAAACUCAGAGGAGAACUUGUUUUUUUUAAGUGGACAUAACUCUUGAUUAGAGUAAAAUUUGUCUUUCUUUGACUAUAAAAACCUUCAGAGUAAUGCUGUUACUUUUGUACAACUAUUAAUUACAAUCUUUUAUCAGGGGAUAUAACUCCACAAGCAUUCAAAACUCUAGUCUUCUGUCAGAUGAGAACUUUCUAUUGUCCUAAAUUUGGAUGGACUUAAUGAUCCAAUUUUAUUAUAUCUGUAGAGAUAUAUACCUUAAUUUAAUAAGGAACUAGGGGACUAAUGAAAAAAUUAUGAAAAGUACCUAGGUGACUAGUUUUAGUAGUAGAUACAAGGAGGCCUAUCUCUGUAUGGGAGUGUUGUUAGAUAUAUACACACAGAGAGCACGUUUGUCAGGAGGUGUACAAGCACCUGUAUACUGAUGACGUGUUACCAAUACAUCACUAGUAAACCACAAACUCUUUCUCAAUAUAUAUAGUCAUGGACAGUUAAAAGAAUGUCUGCUUUAUGGAAAUGAAUACACUUUUUUGUCCCAUGACCGUCCAAUAUAUGUUUUCCCUACAAUUUACCUACAGAUGCCCACUGGAACGUUAAUCACCAAACAAAGAUAGACCACAGCCAUUGUUUUACAUAUCUCAACAACAAACCUGUGGUUGUUAUAUUUACAUAAGAUGCUAACAUGGAGUAAAUUAAGUACGAUAUUGCUUAAAAAUGAUUUUUUUUUUAAAUUUUUUUUCAAACUUUCAAUUUGAGGAAUUUCAGUCGAUCUAUGUUGAAUGGAACCUGAAGAAAAUUUGUGAUAAGCUAUGUUUGAGACUGAGAUUAAAAUGGCUGUGUGGUACAAGACAUAAGCCUGAUAAGCUUAAGGUAGAUAAACUACAAGUAGCGCAAUCAUAAUUUAAUGGAAAUCUUCCAGCAAGAAAAAUCACUAAAAUAAGAUCACCGCUAAAAUAUGUACAUUUGCGGUACAAUUAAUUAGAUAAAAUUAGACAAUGUUAAUUGGGAGGGGGUAAUAAUUCUAUAAGAUACUACUAUGUAAAUGUCACCUUAGCAUUUAGGUAGAACAUCAAGUGUUUGCCUUUUUUAUCAGUUGAUCUUUCAUCUUUUUGUAACCUAGGUUGGUUCGAAUUUGCAUUUAGCUCCACUGUCCGAAUUGUAGAAGUCCAACAAUUUUAACGUGUGGAUACACUUUAGGAUUAACACUCUGUGAAAUCCAAAUUACUCUUGACAUAUGCUUUCUGGUUCAUACACCUUCAUUGGAUUGUAUGUUUAAUUCUUGGAAAUUUGGUCUUAAUUUUAAAGGCACAUUGUUUGUUUUUAUCAAAAAAUACUAAAUUUCUUUAAAAAUGAUUAUAAGCUCUAGAGAAUAUGCAACAUUGAUUAAGAGGUACCAGUUUGAUUAGGAAAUGGCUGUUAAAAACUUAAAAGUGUUACAGAAAAUUCUUUAAAAAAAAUGUUUUACUGUACAUUUUCUUUUUCUUUUGAUGAUUUAUUUGAGGUCAAUAAACUACUGUAUAGUUGUUAAAUUUCAUGGGGCAAAUAUUUCACGGUUGUCAUAGUCGUAUCUAUUUUGUGAUAUAAAAUUUUGCUUAUUUCUCCAGUAAACACUUUACAUUUGUUUGUAUAUUCAAAUAUUUGCUGGGUAUCUAUUUUCAAGCUCUUUUCUAUUACCUUGAAAAUAGUGAAAAUGAUUUCCCACGAAUAUUACACACUUUACGGUAUCUAACAUACAUGUAGAUAAACAUAAGAAAGGUGUAUAGUAAAUUAUAAAUGUUAAGAAGUUUGGGAUGAAGUAGAUAGAACAUAUUCUUAUGAUAGUAUUUGAUGUAAAUCUUGACAGAAUGAAACGCCAGGUACAGGUUUAUGACCAGUGCUAUUUGGCUUUAGAGAAAUUCUUUUCCUAGAGGUUAACCCUUUGAAAAUUGAUACGACACUUAAAACUGUAGUCUGUUGAGAUGGGUUCAGUCUGUGUUAAACACUGAUCAGAGGUCUACAACAACUCUAAUGGGAAGGGGCAUUGUGUGUUAUGAAUGUUGGGAGUACUUAAUGUUAACUUUAAAUGCACAAAAUGGAGAAUAAAAUAUAUAUAAACAAAAUAAAAUGUACAAAAACAAC